rnacentral:lncRNA from 1 species
UCGAUGAUGGAGCCUCCAAAUCGACGAUCGGCACCAUUGAAUAUGAUCUAUACCAUUUGAAGUACAUAGAAAUCAAAUUUCAUACUUUUCCGAUAUUGUUCUCUUAUCCAUCAAGUAGGCGUAAAAAUGAACGGCUGAAAAUGAAUAUCCUCUAAAAAGUGAUGAUAGGAAUUUUGUAAUCAAGAUCGAGAGUAUAGAUCUUAUUCUAAAUAGUUUAAAGAAUUUUCUAACCAAAAUUCAAUUAAUUUGGAUAGCUUUACAUUGUUAAACGAGAAAAUAUCUCAUAUCUAUCAUUAAAAUUAUAAAUUUUGAAACUCUUUGAUCAUUAGGUUAAUGAUGUCGAAAUGAUUUGAAAUUUGGUUUCUAGAUACUUAAAGUGGUAUAGAUCAUGUUCAACGGUCAUGAUCGUCAAUUUAUAGGUUCCAUCAUCGAAAAUAAAUAGGUGGCAACGGAGCCUGUUUGCUAUUGAUAGUAUUCUAGCUCAACUAUAUAUAUAUAUAUAUAUAUAUAUAUAUAUAUAUAGUUGAGCUACUAUACUAUCGGAAGUAUAGAGAAUCUGAUGCUUCCGAUUUUUAGGUCUUUAGAUCAACUUUUUUGAUCAUUUCUAAUUUUUGGAUUAAUACUAUUACCUUGUGGGGAACACUCAACCCUAGGAGUACUACUCAACUCUGAGGGGACUACAAUCAUCCUAACCGUAUAAUUUUUUAUCCAAUGGUCAAAAAGUUGGAAGCAUCAGAUCUUUUAUAAUUCCGAUAGCAUAAUAGCUCUACACUAUAUAUAUAUAUAUAUAUAUAUAUAUUAUAGCUACUAUACUAUUGAUAGUAACAAGCCUUUGGUACUAUUCAGUUUUCUACCGUUAGAUCUAUCCUUUGAUCAUUUCCACCUGUUAGAUUAUACUAUUAAACCAACCACCCACUC